CGUAGUCCGAUCUGGAUGUCCCUCUGAGUCAUACUCGAUGUGAUAUGACUAGAGACACAUUCAGCUUGGCUACAUG
rfam:Ancylostoma ceylanicum strain HY135 Acey_s0015_scaf, whole genome shotgun sequence.